rnacentral:rRNA from 1 species
AACGAACGCUGGCGGCAGGCUUAACACAUGCAAGUCGAGCGCCCCGCAAGGGGAGCGGCAGACGGGUGAGUAACGCGUGGGAACGUACCCUUUGCUACGGAAUAGCUCCGGGAAACUGGAAUUAAUACCGUAUGUGCCCUACGGGGGAAAGAUUUAUCGGCAAAAGAUCGGCCCGCGUUGGAUUAGCUAGUUGGUGGGGUAAUGGCCUACCAAGGCGACGAUCCAUAGCUGGUCUGAGAGGAUGAUCAGCCACAUUGGGACUGAGACACGGCCCAAACUCCUACGGGGGGCAGCAGUGGGGAAUAUUGGACAAUGGGCGCAAGCCUGAUCCAGCCAUGCCGCGUGAGUGAUGAAGGCCUUAGGGUUGUAAAGCUCUUUCACCGGAGAAGAUAAUGACGGUAUCCGGAGAAGAAGCCCCGGCUAACUUCGUGCCAGCCGCCGCGGUAAAAC